UAGCCGUAAACGAUGGAUACUAGGCGUAGCUCGUAUCGACCCGAGCUGUGCCGGAGCUAACGCGGUAAGUAUCCCGCCUGGGGAGUACGCAGGCAACUGUGAAACUCAAGGAAUGACGGAGACCCGCACAAGCGGUAGAGUAUGUGGUUUAAUUCGAUGCAACGCGAAGAACCUUACCAAGGCUUGACAUGUCACGAAUCCUGUAGAAAUAUAGGAGUGCCUUCGGGAGCGUGAACACAGGUGGUGCAUGGCUGUCCUCAGCUCCUGUCGUGAGAUGAUGGGUUAAGUCCCGCAACGAGCGCAACCUCGUUUUUAGUUGCCAGCAUUAGCUUGGGCACUCUAGAGAGACUGCCCGUGACAAACCCGGAGGAAGGUGGGGAUGACGUCAAGUCACCAUGCCCCUUACUCUUGGGUACACACG
rnacentral:rRNA from 1 species